rnacentral:rRNA from 1 species
CCUGAAAGGGCGGGGUGCCCGCAAGGGAGCGUGGAGACAGGUGGUGCAUGGCUGUCGUCAGCUCGUGUCGUGAGAUGUUGGGUUAAGUCCCGCAACGAGCGCAACCCACACCCCUGGUUGCCACCGGGUAAAGCCGAGCACUCGAGGGGAACUGCCAGCGUCAAGCUGGAGGAAGGCGGGGAUGACGUCAAGUCAUCAUGCCCCUUACGCCCUGGGCUACACACGUGCUACAAUGGCCGGUACAAAGGGACGCGAGACCGCGAGGUGGAGCCAAUCCCAAAAAACUGGUCUAAGUUCAGAUUGCAGUCUGCAACUCGACUGCAUGAAGGAGGAAUCGCUAGUAAUCGCGCAUCAGCACGGCGCGGUGAAUACGUUCCCGGGCCUUGUACACACCGCCCGUCACACCACGAAAGCUGU